rnacentral:tRNA from 1 species
GCCGGCUUGGCGGAAAGGAAGACGCGCUAGACUUAGGAUUUAGUAUCUUAUGGUGUGUGGGUUCAAAUCCCACAGUCGGUA